UCGUUAGAUAAGCACUGCUGUGAUAGAAUCGUGGAUCCAACAGUGUGGAAUGGUUCCGGUGUGUUGGCGGUUUAUUGAUUUGCACGGUUGAGGCGAGCUCGGCAUAAUGGGGAAAUUGCUAUCGAAAAUUUUCGGCAACAAGGAGAUGCGGAUAUUAAUGCUGGGGCUCGACGCAGCUGGCAAAACUACUAUUUUAUAUAAGUUAAAAUUAGGUCAGUCAGUCACAACGAUACCGACAGUGGGCUUCAACGUAGAGACCGUCACGUAUAAAAACGUCAAAUUCAACGUCUGGGACGUUGGGGGACAGGACAAAAUACGACCACUAUGGAGGCAUUACUACACAGGCACCCAAGGCCUCAUAUUUGUUGUCGACUGCGCGGACAGAGAUCGCAUCGACGAGGCUCGCCAGGAGCUGCAUCGGAUUAUCAACGAUCGGGAGAUGCGCGACGCUAUCAUACUCAUCUUCGCCAACAAGCAGGACUUGCCAGACGCGAUGAAACCACACGAAAUACAAGAGAAGUUGGGAUUGACGCGCAUCAGGGACCGCAACUGGUACGUGCAACCCUCGUGUGCGACGACAGGCGACGGGCUCUACGAGGGCCUCACGUGGCUUACGAGCAACCACAAAUUAUGAGCUGCGGAGUAGGCGGCAAGCGUCCACAGCCGCCUGCAUUUGCCACGGUAAAAUGCUACCAUAUUUAUAUUCUCUACAGGUGAGGAUAUCGAUGCCAUUUAAGUUAAGUAAGCUGCGAGUGCCGUCGGAUCUUGUAAUUCCAUUGUGAACCAGUGUCAAUACAGUUGAACUGAACAGUGUACGGUGCAGGGAAAAAAACUGUCCGAGACGAAAGGACUCCACAAUAAUUAGUUAGCAAAAAUCGAGUGAACAACCUAUUGUCACAUAACAAAUCAAUUAUUCCAUUAUUUAAUUAAUUAUUAAAAAGAAACUAGAAGUUUGUUGUAUUGAGAUAUUUGAUUAUUUUUUAUGUUAUUUAAAACGAAAG